rnacentral:rRNA from 1 species
UACGGAGGGGGCAAGCGUUGUUCGGAAUUAUUGGGCGUAAAGCGUAUGUAGGCGGCUAAGCAAGUCAGGCGUGCAAGCCCGUGGCUCAACCACGGAAUUGCGUUUGAAACUGCUUAGCUUGAGUACAGGAGAGGAAAGCGGAAUUCCCAGUGUAGCGGUGAAAUGCAUUGAUAUUGGGAAGAACAUCUGUGGCGAAGGCGGUCUACCAGAACACGUCCGACGGUGAGGGAUGAAAGCUGGGGGAGCAAACCGG